UACAGAGGGGGCGAGCGUUGUUCGGAAUUACUGGGCGUAAAGGGCGCGUAGGCGGCCUUCUAAGUCGAACGUGAAAUCCCCGGGCUCAACCCGGGAACUGCGUCCGAUACUGGGAGGCUUGAAUCCGGGAGAGGGAUGCGGAAUUCCAGGUGUAGCGGUGAAAUGCGUAGAUAUCUGGAGGAAUACCGGUGGCGAAGGCGGCAUCCUGGACCGGCAUUGACGCUGAGGAGCGAAAGCCAGGGGAGCAAACGGG
rnacentral:rRNA from 1 species